rnacentral:lncRNA from 1 species
CAGAGGGGUUCAUACACAUGCAAAGAUAUCUUCCCCACUUGCCUCUGAUGGAAACUCAAGGGCCAGGUGGAAAUGGAGUGGAUUUGGGAGUCAGCUGAUGAACUUGGAAGCCCAGCGCAGCCAGUCAGCAGUUUGGUCCAGAACCUGUCUGCACCUCAGUGUCUAGUAAAUGGAGGAAGGGAGAAGGAGAUGAAACUAAUUGACAUUGGGCCUCUUUUAUGAACCAGGCACUUUGCUAUUCUCAUCCAGUCUUACCUUGACGGCAGGAAUGCAAAAUGGCAAGAGGCUCCAUCCUUGAAUCACCAUUUGGAGAAGAGUUAACUGACAAACAAGAUCUGCACUGAAUUAUAUGCCACAGGGAGCCAGGAUAGGAGGACAACAUGGUGGAUCCAGCAUGGAACUUACAAUUGAGGCUAGUUUGAUGGACAUGGCACCAAAUCUCAUGAGAGUGACAAUAAGCUAGAACAGAAGUUUUGGAAAGCCAAAGAAAAGACUGUAACUGCACACAAUAAACAGAAAACAUUUGUGCUUUCUGUCUCCAUCUAUCACCCAAACAGUCAAACCUGGAGAAAACUACUUUUCCUCUCUACACCAACAUGCAUGCUAUUUGCAUAACACCUAACACAAGGAAGUGAAGCAAUUUGCUCAAGAUAAUGUGUCUAGUCAUCAAAAGGACUGGUCAGUGCCUCAAUCUUGAUGAUGAUGGAUACUGCUUAUUGGAUACUCUCACAACUCAACAAUCCAAACACCUUACCAUGUUCCACAAUGACCUGCUUAAUCUGACCCCUGGCACAUCUCAAAUCACAGUCUCUGUCUGUAGUAGAUUAAAAAAAUGGACACAUACUUUGCAAUACCACCCAUCAAGAGAUUAAGUAACUUUCUUCAUCCCUUGAAUCUAGUGGGCUCUUGUGACUACCAAUAGAAUUUGGUGGAAGUGACACUGUGCCUUCUGCAACAAGGCACCUGUGCCGAAGGAGACUUUUAGCCUCUGCCCUUGCCUCCCUGAAUAGUGCCUCCAUGUGAAGAAGGCCAAGCUAACCUACUGGAGACAUGGCUCCACCAAGAACCAGUAGCAGCUGCCAGGACAAGGCCAUCUUAGACCACCCAACCCUAGUCAAGACAGCAGAACGACUGCAGCUCGGAGAAUUGUGUUUUAAGCUGCUAAGUUUUCAGUGGUUUGUUAGGCAGCAAUGCAUAACUGAAAUACCCUUUCACCCUCUUGACUUUAGGCUCCAGCCUUUCUGAUCUUCUCUUAAGCCUUGGAACAUGCCAUUGACUUUUCCACCCUGAGACUUUGCAUGUUAUUCCUUAUGCAUAAAAUACGUUCCUCUUUCCACCUGUCAAAUGGUUUAACUCCCUUUUAUCAUUUAGGCCACUAGCUUAAAAUUCACAUGCAGAGAGAAUUCUUUACUGAGCAACCGUAUACCCCAGAUUUCUUAUUCUUCAUAUCAGGCUUUUCUUAUUUUUUCAUUGCUCAUAUCACAAAGGGCAAUUAAUUAAUUAAUUUGUUUGUUUGUUUGUUAUUGCCUAUUUUCCCCCUAUCCAGAUGUAAGCUCCAUGAGAGUGGUUGGAGGCAAUGUUUAUUCUGUUUUCCACUUCAACUUAAGAGAGUGCCGGGAAGAGGGUCUCAUCCAUAUUUCUUUGGAUCCUUUUAUCAUUUUUCUGCAUACUUUCACUGAGAAUGCUCUCAUGUCCAUCAGCCAGCACUUGCUUCUCUUUUCUGAGGGCUGCCCCAGGCUCCUGAAGUCCAGCUUGGAUUGCCUGCAUGAAAACAUGGAGAGCUAAAGGCUGGGAACUUGCAUAGCCUUAGCCAUUUGCCAAGGAAUGGGGUGAUAACUGUAAACACUCUAGCUCCCUUUUUCCCUGAUCAGGAAAACACUAAUGUGUGAUCUCCCUGUCUGCAGUGCUCACCUGCAGGACCUUCCUUGCUGGUUUUCUUCACGGUGUUUGCAGUAAGUGCACUGUACCCUUGAUUGCCUUUCUUCCUUGCCCUGUCCUACUUCUCCAGUUCUCUGGAGGUUUUUCCAGGAACACUUCUUAAUAAACACCACUUUCACACAAA